CGUCACACUGGCAAGCAUAUUGCAGUGCAACCAAUAGUUUCUGGCUUUGACUGAAGAAUCAGCCAGAUGAUGCUGAACAGUAACCUCAAUCCAUCCAUUUUCAUAACUCUUCACUACAUAUCACAUUUUUACUAUCCUAGAAUUUCCUCUAAUCACAUUCCAUCCUAUAUAAUUUUUUUCAUAUUUUUGACCCUGUGCAAGGGAGAGUUGGUCCUGGGUGUAUGCAAAGGGCUAACCCUGGGGUAGCAAGGAAUAGAUCAGGGUCAGGUAAACCCUGUAGGUCAUCUCUUCAACAUCAAGCGCUACGCUACGACCAGCUCAAGGCGCGGACCUACCACGUCUUUGGUAAUUAUGUCGUUCUGUUUUGUACCCGGUGUAUAGUACUACACAAUGUCAUACUUGUAACCUUGUUUCCCUCUUGCAUGGGCUGACACCUUGUGUAUGCAAUGGUUUGGUCCCGGGUUGCAUGGGGAGGUUCACCUGGGCUGCAAGGGAGGGUUGGUCCUGGUUGCAUGCAAGGGGCUUGCCCUGGGCUAGCUAAGCAUAGAUCAGGGUCAGGUAAACCCUGUAGGUCAUCUCUUCAACAUCAAGCGCUACGCUACGACCAGCUCAAGGCGCGGACCUACCACGUCUUUGGUAAUUAUGUCGUUCUGUUUUGUACCCGGUGUAUAGUACUACACAAUGUCAUACUUGUAACCUUGUUUCCCUCUUGCAUGGGCUGACACCUUGUGUAUGCAAUGGUUUGGUCCCGGGUUGCAUGGGGAGGUUCACCUGGGCUGCAAGGGAGGGUUGGUCCUGGUUGCAUGCAAGGGGCUUGCCCUGGGCUAGCUAAGCAUAGAUCAGGGUCAGGUAAACCCUGUAGGUCAUCUCUUCAACAUCAAGCGCUACGCUACGACCAGCUCAAGGCGCGGGCCUACCACGUCUUUGGUAAUUAUGUCGUUCUGUUUUGUACCCGGUGUAUAGUACUACACAAUGUCAUAUUUGUAACCUUGUUUCCCUCUUGCAUGGGCUGACACCUUGUGUAUGCAAUGGUUUGGUCCCGGGUUGCAUGGGGAGGUUCACCUGGGCUGCAAGGGAGGGUUGGUCCUGGUUGCAUGCAAGGGGCUUGCCCUGGGCUAGCUAAGCAUAGAUCAGGGUCAGGUAAACCCUGUAGGUCAUCUCUUCAACAUCAAGCGCUACGCUACGACCAGCUCAAGGCGCGGACCUGCCACGUCUUUGGUAAUUAUUUCGUUCUGUUUUGUACCCGGUGUAUAGUACUACACAAUGUCAUACUUGUAACCUUGUUUCCCUCUUGCAUGGGCUGACACCUUGUGUAUGCAAUGGUUUGGUCCCGGGUUGCAUGGGGGGGGGGGGGGGUCACCUGGGCUGCAAGGGAGGGUUGGUCCUGGUUGCAUGCAAGGGGCUUGCCCUGGGCUAGCUAAGCAUAGAUCAGGGUCAGGUAAACCCUGUAGGUCAUCUCUUCAACAUCAAGCGCUACGCUACGACCAGCUGAAGCUCCAGCAUCAUCAUCCUGGGUAAUUAUAUCCUGGUUUGUAUACUUGCGAUGCAUGUACUCUUAGUGCAUCCCUGCAACUUUCCUUUGCAUGUCUGAUUUCAUGUAGACUCUUUUGCCUUUGCAUAGUUUUUAAAUUUCCAUGCAACCGUGGCCACAUAGGCCGCUGUUGCAUGGUUAUGUUACUGAGCAGCUGUCCAAUGUUUUGCUCACAACCCCCCAGAUAGGUCACCUCAAGCCGCAUGGCAGUUGAUCCCAAGACUUCUCGGAUAUGGCAGAACGGUGCCAAUGGGUAGAGUAUACCUUGACCGAAGGUGCGUCAGAUGUGUCUGUGUUUGCUGGGGGUAGCUCAAUGCAUGUACUCCAAUCAUACCGCAAGAUGCAUUCACUUGCUUCAAGUUUACCGAGUUGGUUGAAAUGUGCUCAAUAUGGGUGAGUGAAGGGAAGAUGAGAUAAGCAAACAGCAUAAAAAGAUGCAAUUGGCAUUGUUUAUACCAUGUUUCCAGAAGCUUGCUUGCAUUGGGUGCCUUGUGAUUUGCUCUUUUCACCCUAUCUUCAUACCAGACCUUGAUAGAAUUAUAUUUGGAAAAGGGAGGGAGGGGUAGUUCAAUGCAUGUAUUUCCAUCACAAACUUCAUGUAGAUGCUUGAAUCAUUUGCUUGAAUCAAGUUUACCGAGAGUGUUGGAAUGUGCUCAAUAUGGGUGGGUAAUGGGGAGACGAGAUAAAGAAACAGCUAAAAAAAGCAGCAAUUUGCAUUGUUUAUACCGUGUCUCAGGAAGCUUGCUUGCAUCGAGCGUCUUGCAAUUUUCUCUGUUUUACUUGGGUCUAACAGGUGGAUGCUACCUAUAUUCCCACCAGCCCACUAUUUGGGGGGGGGGGGGGGUGCAAGUAUUCCAACUAACACAAAUACAGUUCACUUACUAGAAUCAAGUUUACAGAGUGUUGGAAUGUGCUCAAUAUUGGUGGGUGAUGAGGAGAUGAGAUAAGCAAACAGCACAAAACUGCAAUUGGCAUUGUUUAUACCAUAUCUCCUGUAGCUUACUUGUAUUGGGUGUGUUACAAUUUACUCUGGUUCUUGCUAACUUUAUUAUGUUGCAUAUGUUAAAACUUUCAUGCUCUUUGCAAACACAUGCUAUCACCACUCUACUAGUAGUGUGUGACGGAUUUGUGUGUUCUGCUGUAAUUACAACCCGUGUAUAAGGUACAUCGACGUGGACACCGCUGCCUGCUAAACCAUCACGGGUGCCUGCUCCACCACUGCUCUGAAUACCAUCAGUUGCGUCAUCGCUAGGGAUGGGGUAGUGGACCUAAGCCCCAUCCCAAAAGUCUACAAGAUGUCGUCACACUGGCAAGCAUAUUGCAGUGCAACCAAUAGUUUCUGGCUGUGACUGAAGAAUCAGCCAGAUGAUGCUGAACAGUAACCUCAAUCCAUCCAUUUUCAUAACUCUUCACUACAUAUCACAUUUUUACUAUCCUAGAAUUUCCUCUAAUCACAUUCCAUCCUAUAUAAUUUUUUCAUAUUUUUGACCCUGUGCAAGGGAGAGUUGGUCCUGGGUGUAUGCAAAGGGCUAACCCUGGGGUAGCUAGGAAUAGAUCAGGGUCAGGUAAACCCUGUAGGUCAUCUCUUCAACAUCAAGCGCUACGCUACGACCAGCUCAAGGCGCGGACCUACCACGUCUUUGGUAAUUAUGUCGUUCUGUUUUGUACCCGGUGUAUAGUACUACACAAUGUCAUACUUGUAACCUUGUUUCCCUCUUGCAUGGGCUGACACCUUGUGUAUGCAAUGGUUUGGUCCCGGGUUGCAUGGGGAGGUUCACCUGGGCUGCAAGGGAGGGUUGGUCCUGGUUGCAUGCAAGGGGCUUGCCCUGGGCUAGCUAAGCAUAGAUCAGGGUCAGGUAAACCCUGUAGGUCAUCUCUUCAACAUCAAGCGCUACGCUACGACCAGCUCAAGGCGCGGACCUACCACGUCUUUGGUAAUUAUGUCGUUCUGUUUUGUACCCGGUGUAUAGUACUACACAAUGUCAUACUUGUAACCUUGUUUCCCUCUUGCAUGGGCUGACACCUUGUGUAUGCAAUGGUUUGGUCCCGGGUUGCAUGGGGAGGUUCACCUGGGCUGCAAGGGAGGGUUGGUCCUGGUUGCAUGCAAGGGGCUUGCCCUGGGCUAGCUAAGCAUAGAUCAGGGUCAGGUAAACCCUGUAGGUCAUCUCUUCAACAUCAAGCGCUACGCUACGACCAGCUCAAGGCGCGGACCUACCACGUCUUUGGUAAUUAUUUCGUUCUGUUUUGUACCCGGUGUAUAGUACUACACAAUGUCAUACUUGUAACCUUGUUUCCCUCUUGCAUGGGCUGACACCUUGUGUAUGCAAUGGUUUGGUCCCGGGUUGCAGGGGGGGGGGGGGUCACCUGGGCUGCAAGGGAGGGUUGGUCCUGGUUGCAUGCAAGGGGCUUGCCCUGGGCUAGCUAAGCAUAGAUCAGGGUCAGAUAAACCCUGUAGGUCAUCUCUUCAACAUCAAGCGCUACGCUACGACCAGCUGAAGCUCCAGCAUCAUCAUCCUGGGUAAUUAUAUCCUGGUUUGUAUACUUGCGAUGCAUGUACUCUUAGUGCAUCCCUGCAACUUUCCUUUGCAUGUCUGAUUUCAUGUAGACUCUUUUGCCUUUGCAUAGUUUUUAAAUUUCCAUGCAACCGUGGCCACAUAGGCCGCUGUUGCAUGGUUAUGUUACUGAGCAGCUGUCCAAUGUUUUGCUCACAACCCCCCAGAUAGGUCACCUCAAGCCGCAUGGCAGUUGAUCCCAAGACUUCUCGGAUAUGGCAGAACGGUGCCAAUGGGUAGAGUAUACCUUGACCGAAGGUGCGUCAGAUGUGUCUGUGUUUGCUGGGGGUAGCUCAAUGCAUGUACUCCAAUCAUACCGCAAGAUGCAUUCACUUGCUUCAAGUUUACCGAGUUGGUUGAAAUGUGCUCAAUAUGGGUGAGUGAAGGGAAGAUGAGAUAAGCAAACAGCAUAAAAAGAUGCAAUUGGCAUUGUUUAUACCAUGUUUCCAGAAGCUUGCUUGCAUUGGGUGCCUUGUGAUUUGCUCUUUUCACCCUAUCUUCAUACCAGACCUUGAUAGAAUUAUAUUUGGAAAAGGGAGGGAGGGGUAGUUCAAUGCAUGUAUUUCCAUCACAAACUUCAUGUAGAUGCUUGAAUCAUUUGCUUGAAUCAAGUUUACCGAGAGUGUUGGAAUGUGCUCAAUAUGGGUGGGUAAUGGGGAGACGAGAUAAAGAAACAGCUAAAAGAAAGCAGCAAUUUGCAUUGUUUAUACCGUGUCUCAGGAAGCUUGCUUGCAUCGAGCGUCUUGCAAUUUUCUCUGUUUUACUUGGGUCUAACAGGUGGAUGCUACCUAUAUUCCCACCAGCCCACUAUUUGGGGGGGGGGGGGUGCAAGUAUUCCAACUAACACAAAUACAGUUCACUUACUAGAAUCAAGUUUACAGAGUGUUGGAAUGUGCUCAAUAUUGGUGGGUGAUGAGGAGAUGAGAUAAGCAAACAGCACAAAACUGCAAUUGGCAUUGUUUAUACCAUAUCUCCAGUAGCUUACUUGUAUUGGGUGUGUUACAAUUUACUCUGGUUCUUGCUAACUUUAUUAUGUUGCAUAUGUUAAAACUUUCAUGCUCUUUGCAAACACAUGCUAUCACCACUCUACUAGUAGUGUGUGACGGAUUUGUGUGUUCUGCUGUAAUUACAACCCGUGUAUAAGGUACAUCGACGUGGACACUGCUGCCUGCUAAACCAUCACGGGUGCCUGCUCCACCACUGCUCUGAAUACCAUCAGUUGCGUCAUCGCUAGGGAUGGGGUAGUGGACCGAAGCCCCAUCCCAAAAGUCUACAAGAUGUCGUCACACUGGCAAGCAUAUUGCAGUGCAACCAAUAGUUUCUGGCUUUGACUGAAGAAUCAGCCAGAUGAUGCUGAACAGUAACCUCAAUCCAUCCAUUUUCAUAACUCUUCACUACAUAUCACAUUUUUACUAUCCUAGAAUUUCCUCUAAUCACAUUCCAUCCUAUAUAUUUUUUUCAUAUUUUUGACCCUGUGCAAGGGAGAGUUGGUCCUGGGUGUAUGCAAAGGGCUAACCCUGGGGUAGCUAGGAAUAGAUCAGGGUCAGGUAAACCCUGUAGGUCAUCUCUUCAACAUCAAGCGCUACGCUACGACCAGCUCAAGGCGCGGACCUACCACGUCUUUGGUAAUUAUGUCGUUCUGUUUUGUACCCGGUGUAUAGUACUACACAAUGUCAUACAUGUAACCUUGUUUCCCUCUUGCAUGGGCUGACACCUUGUGUAUGCAAUGGUUUGGUCCCGGGUUGCAUGGGGAGGUUCACCUGGGCUGCAAGGGAGGGUUGGUCCUGGUUGCAUGCAAGGGGCUUGCCCUGGGCUAGCUAAGCAUAGAUCAGGGUCAGGUAAACCCUGUAGGUCAUCUCUUCAACAUCAAGCGCUACGCUACGACCAGCUCAAGGCGCGGACCUACCACGUCUUUGGUAAUUAUGUCGUUCUGUUUUGUACCCGGUGUAUAGUACUACACAAUGUCAUACUUGUAACCUUGUUUCCCUCUUGCAUGGGCUGACACCUUAUGUAUGCAAUGGUUUGGACCCGGGUUGCAGGGGGGGGGUUCACCUGGGCUGCAAGGGAGGGUUGGUCCUGGUUGCAUGCAAGGGGCUUGCCCUGGGCUAGCUAAGCAUAGAUCAGGGUCAGGUAAACCCUGUAGGCCAUCUCUUCAACAUCAAGCGCUACGCUACGACCAGCUCAAGGCGCGGACCUACCACGUCUUUGGUAAUUAUGUCGUUCUGUUUUGUACCCGGUGUAUAGUACUACACAAUGUCAUACUUGUAACCUUGUUUCCCUCUUGCAUGGGCUGACACCUUGUGUAUGCAAUGGUUUGGUCCCGGGUUGCAUGGGGAGGUUCACCUGGGCUGCAAGGGAGGGUUGGUCCUGGGUGCAUGCAAGGGGCUUGCCCUGGGCUAGCUAAGCAUAGAUCAGGGUCAGGUAAACCCUGUAGGUCAUCUCUUCAACAUCAAGCGCUACGCUACGACCAGCUGAAGCUCCAGCAUCAUCAUCCUGGGUAAUUAUAUCCUGGUUUGUAUACUUGCGAUGCAUGUACUCUUAGUGCAUCCCUGCAACUUUCCUUUGCAUGUCUGAUUUCAUGUAGACUCUUUUGCCUUUGCAUAGUUUUUAAAUUUCCAUGCAACCGUGGCCACAUAGGCCGCUGUUGCAUGGUUAUGUUACUGAGCAGCUGUCCAAUGUUUUGCUCACAACCCCCCAGAUAGGUCACCUCAAGCCGCAUGGCAGUUGAUCCCAAGACUUCUCGGAUAUGGCAGAACGGUGCCAAUGGGUAGAGUAUACCUUGGCCGAAGGUGCGUCAGAUGUGUCUGUGUUUGCUGGGGGUAGCUCAAUGCAUGUACUCCAAUCAUACCGCAAGAUGCAUUCACUUGCUUCAAGUUUACCGAGUUGGUUGAAAUGUGCUCAAUAUGGGUGAGUGAAGGGGAGAUGAGAUAAGCAAACAGCAUAAAAAGAUGCAAUUGGCAUUGUUUAUACCAUGUUUCCAGAAGCUUGCUUGCAUUGGGUGCCUUGUGAUUUGCUCUUUUCACCCUAUCUUCAUACCAGACCUUGAUAGAAUUAGCUUUGGAAAAGGGAGGGAGGGGUAGUUCAAUGCAUGUAUUCCCAUCAAAAACUUCAUGUAGAUGCUUGAAUCAUUUGCUUGAAUCAAGUUUACCGAGAGUGUUGGAAUGUGCUCAAUAUGGGUGGGUAAUGGGGAGACGAGAUAAAGAAACAGCUAAAAAAAAGCAGCAAUUUGCAUUGUUUAUACCGUGUCUCAGGAAGCUUGCUUGCAUCGAGCGUCUUGCAAUUUUCUCUGUUUUACUUGGGUCUAACAGGUGGAUGCUACCUAUAUUCCCACCAGCCCACUAUUUGGGGGGGGGGGGUGCAAGUAUUCCAACUAACACAAAUACAGUUCACUUACUAGAAUCAAGUUUACAGAGUGUUGGAAUGUGCUCAAUAUUGGUGGGUGAUGAGGAGAUGAGAUAAGCAAACAGCACAAAACUGCAAUUGGCAUUGUUUAUACCAUAUCUCCUGUAGUUUACUUGUAUUGGGUGUGUUACAAUUUACUCUGGUUCUUGCUAACUUUAUUAUGUUGCGUAUGUUAAAACUUUCAUGCUCUUUGCAAACACAUGCUAUCACCACUCUACUAGUAGUGUGUGACGGAUUUGUGUGUUCUGCUGUAAUUACAACCCGUGUAUAAGGUACAUCGACGUGGACACCGCUGCCUGCUAAACCAUCACGGGUGCCUGCUCCACCACUGCUCUGAAUACCAUCAGUUGCGUCAUCGCUAGGGAUGGGGUAGUGGACCUAAGCCCCAUCCCAAAAGUCUACAAGGUAAAUAUCACCUGGUGAUGAGUGCUUAAAUUUAUCUUGUUAGCAACACUGGCAGAUGAGCAGUCCUAUUUUUCAGCUCCUCUGUUAUAGUGGACAUUAUUUAGCAAGGGAAGUUUUGAAUUUCUACCAUAACGUGCACUGUCUAGCCGUAAUACUUGUUUGCUAAAGGCCCCGGACUGUAGUGACAGAAUGUUUGGGGUGUAAGGAUGCCUGGCCCUGAUUGUUUGUCAGUCCUGUUUCAAUGUAGGGGGUUUGCAUGCAGCUUGGAGGGUGUAUGCCCAUUAAGUUCUGGCCCUGAUUGUUUGUCAGUCCUGUUUCAAUGUAGGGGGUUUGCAUGCAGCUUGGAGGGUGUAUGCCCAUUAAGUUCUGUCCCAUGCAUCCAGGCACUGCUUAUCCGUGCACCCGCCUUAUGUCCCGACAUUGACAAAACAAAAAUUUAUAUUCAGCGCACGCUUCCCAUAUCCCUUCCACGAUGCUGUCUGGACGAAUUUGCCCGCCCAUGUAAAACAUUUCCUUGAAAGGCUUUGUGCAGUGGUGUUGGAUAAGAUAGAUAAACUAUAUGCAUUGCACCGUGUUGGUGAAGACAAGUACUUUGUGAUAGCAUACACUGAAGGCAUGAUGUAGUAGAAUGGUGUUUGAUCUAUUGCAUUUUGUUUUCGAGUUACCCCGGCGCUGCAGAUAUAUCUCCAUCGUUUUGUCAAGGAAUCACCAGCACCUCCAGCUUCGCCUCUAAAAUGCAUUGUGCAGUGCUAGAAAAAUGGUUCUCCUCACGGCUUCUCCAGUCUUUCAUGUCUAAAUUCCUUUCCAGAAUGCCGCCAUGACAGGAGCCAUUUUUCUGAUCUGCAUAACGUAAAGCCCCGAUGG